rnacentral:rRNA from 1 species
UACGUAGGGGGGCAAGCGUUGUCCGGAUUUAUUGGGCGUAAAGAGCGUGUAGGCGGUUUGGUAGGUCCGUUGUGAAAACUCGAGGCUCAACCUCGAGACGCCGAUGGAAACCAUCAGACUAGAGUCCGGAAGAGGAGAGUGGAAUUCCUGGUGUAGCGGUGAAAAUGCGCAGAUAUCAGGAGGAACACCAAAUGGCGAAGGCAGCUCGCUGGGACGGUACUGACGCUGAGACGCGAAAAGCGUGGGGGAGCAAAACAGG